rnacentral:misc_RNA from 1 species
AAAGUCGUAACAAGGUUUCCGUAGGUGAACCUGCGGAAGGAUCAUUAUUGUAGGGACUCCGGUCCCCUCAAGAUGCAACCCGUGCCUUUUUGGUAGCCCGUAACGUUUCCUCGGCAGCCCCGCUGCCAGCGAGGACCCCCCCAAACCAAGCCUGCAAUCUCAGUAAAAAAUUCAGAAACCCCCCAAAAUUCAAAA